rnacentral:rRNA from 1 species
CCUACGGGUGGCAGCAGUGGGGAAUAUUGCACAAUGGGGGAAACCAUGAUGCAGCGACGCAGCGUGAGUGAAGAAGACAUAAGUUAGGUAAAGCUAUAUCAGCAGGGAAGAAAAUGACGGUACCUGAGUAAGAAGCCGCGGAUAACUAGGGUCCAGCAGCCGCGGUAAUACGUAGUGGGCAAGCGUGAGCCGGAUUUACUGGGCGUAAAGGGAGUGUAGACGGUGCGCCAAGUCUGGAGGCAAAUGCCGCAGCUUAACGGCGGAACUGCUUUGGAAACUGGCGAACGAGAGUGCGGGAGGGGUAAGCGGAAUUCCUAGUGUAGCGGUGAAAUGCGUAGAUAUUAGGAGGAACACCGGUCGCGAAGGCGGCUUACUGGACCGUAACUGACGUUGAUGCUCGAAAGCGUGGGGAGCAAACAGGAUUAGAUACCCCAGUAGUC